CGGUGAUCCCAUGUUGCGUUUCUG
rnacentral:miRNA from 1 species